CCUACGGGUGGCAGCAGUGAGGAAUAUUGGUCAAUGGGCGAAAGCCUGAACCAGCCAAGUCGCGUGAGGGAAGACGGUCCUACGGAUUGUAAACCUCUUUUGUCAGGGAGCAAGGUGCGCCACGUGUGGUGCUUCGCGUGUACCUUAAGAAUAAGGAUCGGCUAACUCCGUGCCAGCAGCCGCGGUAAUCCGGAGGAUGCGAGCGUUAUUCGGAUUUAUUGGGUUUAAAGGGUGCGUAGGCGGACGUGGCAAGUCAGCGGUAAAGUUGGGGGGCCAAACCUCGAAGUGCCGUUGAGACUGGUAGGCUGGAGUGGGGGAGAGGUAGGCGGAAUGCGUGGUGUAGCGGUGAAAUGCAUAGAUAUCACGCAGAACUCCGAUUGCGAAGGCAGCAUACCGGGGCCUAACUGACGCUGAUGCACGAAAGCGUGGGGAUCAAACAGGAUUAGAUACCCGAGUAGUC
rnacentral:rRNA from 1 species